rnacentral:rRNA from 1 species
GGGUUGUGAGGUUAAGCGACUAAGCGUACACGGUGGAUGCCCUGGCAGUCAGAGGCGAUGAAGGACGUGCUAAUCUGCGAUAAGCGUCGGUGAGGUGAUAUGAACCGUUAUAACCGGCGAUUUCCGAAUGGGGAAACCCAGUGUGUUUCGACACACUAUCAUUAACUGAAUCCAUAGGUUAAUGAGGCGAACCGGGGGAACUGAAACAUCUAAGUACCCCGAGGAAAAGAAAUCAACCGAGAUUCCCCCAGUAGCGGCGAGCGAACGGGGAGGAGCCCAGAGCCUGAAUCAGUGUGUGUGUUAGUGGAAGCGUCUGGAAAGGCGUGCGAUACAGGGUGACAGCCCCGUACACAAAAAUGCACAUAUUGUGAGCUCGAUGAGUAGGGCGGGACACGUGGUAUCCUGUCUGAAUAUGGGGGGACCAUCCUCCAAGGCUAAAUACUCCUGACUGACCGAUAGUGAACCAGUACCGUGAGGGAAAGGCGAAAAGAACCCCGGCGAGGGGAGUGAAAAAGAACCUGAAACCGUGUACGUACAAGCAGUGGGAGCCUCUUUAUGGGGUGACUGCGUACCUUUUGUAUAAUGGGUCAGCGACUUAUAUUCUGUAGCAAGGUUAACCGAAUAGGGGAGCCGAAGGGAAACCGAGUCUUAACUGGGCGUUAAGUUGCAGGGUAUAGACCCGAAACCCGGUGAUCUAGCCAUGGGCAGGUUGAAGGUUGGGUAACACUAACUGGAGGACCGAACCGACUAAUGUUGAAAAAUUAGCGGAUGACUUGUGGCUGGGGGUGAAAGGCCAAUCAAACCGGGAGAUAGCUGGUUCUCCCCGAAAGCUAUUUAGGUAGCGCCUCGUGAAUUCAUCUCCGGGGGUAGAGCACUGUUUCGGCAAGGGGGUCAUCCCGACUUACCAACCCGAUGCAAACUGCGAAUACCGGAGAAUGUUAUCACGGGAGACACACGGCGGGUGCUAACGUCCGUCGUGAAGAGGGAAACAACCCAGACCGCCAGCUAAGGUCCCAAAGUCAUGGUUAAGUGGGAAACGAUGUGGGAAGGCCCAGACAGCCAGGAUGUUGGCUUAGAAGCAGCCAUCAUUUAAAGAAAGCGUAAUAGCUCACUGGUCGAGUCGGCCUGCGCGGAAGAUGUAACGGGGCUAAACCAUGCACCGAAGCUGCGGCAGCGACACUAUGUGUUGUUGGGUAGGGGAGCGUUCUGUAAGCCUGUGAAGGUGGCCUGUGAGGGUUGCUGGAGGUAUCAGAAGUGCGAAUGCUGACAUAAGUAACGAUAAAGCGGGUGAAAAGCCCGCUCGCCGGAAGACCAAGGGUUCCUGUCCAACGUUAAUCGGGGCAGGGUGAGUCGACCCCUAAGGCGAGGCCGAAAGGCGUAGUCGAUGGGAAACAGGUUAAUAUUCCUGUACUUGGUGUUACUGCGAAGGGGGGACGGAGAAGGCUAUGUUGGCCGGGCGACGGUUGUCCCGGUUUAAGCGUGUAGGCUGGUUUUCCAGGCAAAUCCGGAAAACCAAGGCUGAGGCGUGAUGACGAGGCACUACGGUGCUGAAGCGACAAAUGCCCUGCUUCCAGGAAAAGCCUCUAAGCAUCAGGUAACAUCAAAUCGUACCCCAAACCGACACAGGUGGUCAGGUAGAGAAUACCAAGGCGCUUGAGAGAACUCGGGUGAAGGAACUAGGCAAAAUGGUGCCGUAACUUCGGGAGAAGGCACGCUGAUAUGUAGGUGAAGCGACUUGCUCGUGGAGCUGAAAUCAGUCGAAGAUACCAGCUGGCUGCAACUGUUUAUUAAAAACACAGCACUGUGCAAACACGAAAGUGGACGUAUACGGUGUGACGCCUGCCCGGUGCCGGAAGGUUAAUUGAUGGGGUUAGCGGUAACGCGAAGCUCUUGAUCGAAGCCCCGGUAAACGGCGGCCGUAACUAUAACGGUCCUAAGGUAGCGAAAUUCCUUGUCGGGUAAGUUCCGACCUGCACGAAUGGCGUAAUGAUGGCCAGGCUGUCUCCACCCGAGACUCAGUGAAAUUGAACUCGCUGUGAAGAUGCAGUGUACCCGCGGCAAGACGGAAAGACCCCGUGAACCUUUACUAUAGCUUGACACUGAACAUUGAGCCUUGAUGUGUAGGAUAGGUGGGAGGCUUUGAAGUGUGGACGCCAGUCUGCAUGGAGCCGACCUUGAAAUACCACCCUUUAAUGUUUGAUGUUCUAACGUUGGCCCGUAAUCCGGGUUGCGGACAGUGUCUGGUGGGUAGUUUGACUGGGGCGGUCUCCUCCUAAAGAGUAACGGAGGAGCACGAAGGUUGGCUAAUCCUGGUCGGACAUCAGGAGGUUAGUGCAAUGGCAUAAGCCAGCUUGACUGCGAGCGUGACGGCGCGAGCAGGUGCGAAAGCAGGUCAUAGUGAUCCGGUGGUUCUGAAUGGAAGGGCCAUCGCUCAACGGAUAAAAGGUACUCCGGGGAUAACAGGCUGAUACCGCCCAAGAGUUCAUAUCGACGGCGGUGUUUGGCACCUCGAUGUCGGCUCAUCACAUCCUGGGGCUGAAGUAGGUCCCAAGGGUAUGGCUGUUCGCCAUUUAAAGUGGUACGCGAGCUGGGUUUAGAACGUCGUGAGACAGUUCGGUCCCUAUCUGCCGUGGGCGCUGGAGAACUGAGGGGGGCUGCUCCUAGUACGAGAGGACCGGAGUGGACGCAUCACUGGUGUUCGGGUUGUCAUGCCAAUGGCACUGCCCGGUAGCUAAAUGCGGAAGAGAUAAGUGCUGAAAGCAUCUAAGCACGAAACUUGCCCCGAGAUGAGUUCUCCCUGACUCCUUGAGAGUCCUGAAGGAACGUUGAAGACGACGACGUUGAUAGGCCGGGUGUGUAAGCGCAGCGAUGCGUUGAGCUAACCGGUACUAAUGAACCGUGAGGCUUAACCUUACAACGCCGAAG